AUUGAACGCUGGCGGCAGGCCUAACACAUGCAAGUCGAGCGGAGCAGCGGUCGGGUGCGUAAUGCCAAGGACUCUGCCUCGUCCUGGGGGAUAACGUUCGCAACCGGGCGCUAAUACCGACUACUCUCAGAACAGCCUGGGCCGGAUUAGCUAGUGGGUGGGGUAAAGGCCUACCCAGGCCACGAUCCCUAACUGGUCUGAGAGGAUGAUCAGUCACACUGGAACUGAGACACGGUCCAGACUCCUACGGGAGGCAGCAGUGGGGAAUAUUGGAGAAUGGGCGAAAGCCUGAUGCAGCCAUGCCGCGUGUGUGAAGAAGGUCUUCGGAUUGUAAAGCACUUUAAGUUGGGAGGCGUUACCAACAGAAUAAGCACCGGCUAACUUCGUGCCAGCAGCCGCGGUAAUUC
rnacentral:rRNA from 1 species